GUAUGUUCUUUUCCUUCCCUCCCUCCCUCUGUCCUUUCCUUCCUCCCUCUCUUCUUCCCCUUCUGUCCGUCUCUCUGUCUCUCUGUCUCUCUAUCUCUCUCUGUGUCUGUCUGUCUGUCUGUCUCUCUCUCUGUCUCUCUGUCUCUCUCUCUGUCUCUCUGUCUCUGUCUCUGUCUCUGUCUCUGUCUCUGUCUCUGUCUCUCUCUCUCCAUUUCUUUACCCACCUCCCCUUACACCCCGGCUCCUCCAGGAACAUCUGGCGUUAAAGGGUGGGUGAGAAGUCCACUUGGGAUGAAGGAUGUCUUGGCAAAGAGCAGGUACAAGGAAAGACCAUGUGAUGGAUCUUCUUGAUUCCCAACUUGACUACAUCUGGAAGGAACUACAAUCCAGAAAUGGAGGGCAUGCCGGACACACAAGAUCAUCUGGACUGAAUGAGUCUGGAGGAGACAAAGACCCUGACCUAGAGGCAGGAGAAGCUGAGAAGUACCAGAGAGAGAGGGAGAGAAAGGUUAGAGAUUGAUGGAGG